rnacentral:rRNA from 1 species
UCGGGAAUUUUGGGCAAUGGGCGAAAGCCUGACCCAGCAACGCCGCGUGAAGGAUGAAGUCUUUCGGGAUGUAAACUUCGUAAAAAUAGGAAGAAUAAAUGACGGUACUAUUUGUAAGGUCCGGCUAACUACGUGCCAGCAGCCGCGGUAAUACGUAGGGACCAAGCGUUGUUCGGAUUUACUGGGCGUAAAGGGCGCGUAGGCGGCGUGGUAAGUCACUUGUGAAAUCUCCGAGCUUAACUCGGAACGGUCAAGUGAUACUGCUGUGCUAGAGUACAGAAGGGGCAAUCGGAAUUCUUGGUGUAGCGGUGAAAUGCGUAGAUAUCAAGAGGAACACCAGUGGCGAAGGCGGCUAACUGGUCCGGUACUGACGCUGAGGUGCGAAAGCGUGGGGAGCAAACAGGAUUAGAUACCCGGGUAGUCCCUGAGCGGGCUGGCAAGGCGCAU